UGAGUUGUCAUUUUUAACCGCGUGGAAAACGCCGCCGGCGGCUCCCGAAAUGUCUCUGGUUUGCGACGGCCACGGUGGCUUAAAUCGGUUAAACCGAGAAUCCACGGGGAGCUUUUAACAAGUUCUACAGAAAAGUUGUUGUUUAUGAAGAGGAAAAUGCAAGAAAGUGACUGAAAACGCCGUCAAAAUGGUUUGCGGCUUUCACCUACGGUUGCGGAGAGCGGAGUCGGAUAAUGCUACAGGACUCAAACUCCAACCAGUAAAUCACAGACAGAAGAGCCAGACCUGAGGACAUUUACAGAAGGACUCAAACUUCAACCAGGAAACACUACAGCUGAUGAAGAAGAGACAGACAGGAGGAUUUACAGGAGGUCCAGAAUUUCACCUGCUGCUCUCACCGCCGCCGCCUCCUCCUCCUGCAGAGACAGAACACAUGUUAAUCACUGAACCUGAUC